GGGGUUGUGGCUCAGUGGUAGAGCACUUGCCUAGCAUGUGUGAGGCUCUGGGUUUGAUUCUCAGCACCA
rnacentral:tRNA from 1 species